UAAAACUAGUAUAACAGCAUACAUGUCUGUCACAUGACAUCUAAUAUAGCCUACAGUGUGUGUGUGUGUGGGGGGGGGGGGGGCUCCUGGGAAGAUAACGGCAUGUUUGUGAGACUACAACCAGUUGAGUUGAGCACUUGGCUUGGCAGUUUAGGCAGGGUGGGUGGAUCCAUAAAUGAGUUUAGAAAUGAGUAAUAACACACUAUGAUACCUCUACCUCAUGUUGUUUUCUACACCUCUGAACAGAGAGUUAUAGGGAUCAAGGAUGGGAUCAUUCAUAUGGCAAAGCAUCAAUCAGAGCAACUGCACCCAUCCUCCUCCCGGUGUUUGCUCAUUCCAGACGUGAAGGUAGGAAUGUGGAUACAUGUUUUGUCAAAAACCCCUUGAGUGGCUUACAGGAUGAACUGCGAGACCACAUUUAGUCAGCCCGUCAGAGCUGGCAUCCUGAAUCAUGUUUGUUAUUCAGAGGUAUGCAUCAUUCUGAAAUGGAGGGAAAAUACCUCAAGUGGAGGAGUGUCUAGAUGGCGCUGAAGUUCACUGUGUGAGACGAGGGGAAAACCAGCAUGUGGCCAGCUCAACAUAUAAAACCACAGAAGUCACAGAGCUAAUUCAGUUAGUGGUUAGUAGCCAGAGACUUCCCAAACACACCCAAACACAGACAGUGGCAUUCCAGCUGCACUUGAAGAAUCUCUCUUCACUCUGCUGUUGUUGCAUUUAAGGUAAGGCCAUAUGUUUACUUCAAGUAAAUGAUUGUCACACGCUUAUUCUGUGGUUAAAUGAUCAUUACUGUCAGGCGUAGGAUGUGAAACUUCACUUUCAAACCAUAGCGCCUUGAUUUUCUCAACAAGAAUAAUCUGUAACUGAGAGAUACAAUUUGGUGCAUAUUGGCAUUAUAAAUCUUGUAAUGUGCAUUACUUUCCCAUAUUUUCAAAUGUGUCAUCGCUUACUUAAAAAUCUUAAAGAGAGAUGUCAAAAACGAUGUCAGUGAAAGAUUGUAAUUUCAAAAGAGCCAAUUAAAUGUUAAGUGUAACCCUGAUGUGAAAUGUUUCUCAAAUGUCAGAUCUGAUAAUGUAUUUUUAGGAGAUAGUGAUCUCAGAAAUACAUUAUUUAUGGGAUUUUUGGGGAGAAAUUCAAAAGUGCCUGUAUGAAAGGACUGUGGAGGUCAACCUAACACAAAUGCAAAAAUAAAAUGUCUGUAGAUUGUUGAAACAGGUGUGGCCUAUUCUUGAUGGGCUGGGAGAUAAGCUGAGACAUAGCGGUGAUGCUUGGAGCUGAGACAUAGCGGUGAUGCUUGGAGCUGGACAGCUGGUUGCAGCUCCAUCUUCCACUGGGCAGGUCUGAUAUGGUACAGACCCGAGAUCCCAUUAUCCUCUUGACUGGAUCACAUCUGUCCUCUCUUACUCUCUGGUUCACCUUAACAACCUAUGUAUCAGAGAUACAAUUGAGCCCCACUUUAUCUAAAUGUGAUCACACCUAACACACCAUGGGAAGCUGUUUCCUCAUUAUGGCAGUAAACGCAUACAUGUGAAUGAAAUUGACAUAUAUGCCACAAUUCUUGUAUUUCUAUUUUUUCCUUAAGGGCACAAAUCAUUGAUGUUUCAUAAACCAGUCAUUGUUUGUGAUGUCAACAAGACUCCAUGCAGUAUUUGCCUCAGAGGAAGAGUAGAGCUUCACACGUGUAUUUCAGUGGUCUGCUGGGGAUUUAUGUUAUAACCAGGAACAGUGAAUUACCAAAUGCAGGAGCUGAAAGGGAAGUGUCUACGCCAAGCUAUUUCUCUGUUUCUAAAUACAUACUUCCUGGAUCACACAUUUGCUGACAUUAUACAUUUCGAACUGUUCUAAAAGAGUGUGGGACACAUUUUAAAGUUGGGUAUUUACAAAAUACAAUACAAUUUUUGGUACUGUAAUAAUUUCACCAGUUUGCCUCAGAUUACUAUGUCAUAGGUAUUGCUGCACCCUCCUCAGCUGUGGUUAAGUGAAUAUGGCUCUGGCAUCUGAAUAUGGCAUUCUGCAUCGGCCUUUUGCACUGUCAUUAAGCCGACAUAUUGAACCCAAAACACAAUAAGUGACUGGCAGAGGAGGGGUUUGGUGCGAAGGAUUAACACUGUUAUGUACUGUUUGAGUGAAUGAAAUGCACCAUUGUCCUGGUGUUUAAAGAAAAUCCUAGUUACUCUGUAUGGUUAGACCAAGUUCUCAACUCGAUGCCUUUAUUCACUAUUACACAGAGAAAUCAAGUGGACUAGUGUGUGUGAUUACUCUCUAAUCAGCUAAUUGAAGCCCAAAUACAGUAUUAUACUUAAGAGAUCAUCAUCAAAACAAUAAUUUAUACAGGAAGAGAAAAAUACUGGUGGUUUAAUGUUCUAUGCUUGUAGUUUUGUAUCACAAACCCAGAGUAUGCAGACACUCACACCCUCUCACUCAUUCUCUCUCUCUCUCUCUCUCUCUC